rnacentral:rRNA from 1 species
AUUGAACGCUGGCGGCAUGCUUUACACAUGCAAGUCGAACGGUAACAGGCCUUCGGGUGCUGACGAGUGGCGAACGGGUGAGUAAUGCAUCGGAACGUGCCCAGAGGUGGGGGAUAACGCAGCGAAAGCUGUGCUAAUACCGCAUGUGAUCUGAGGAUGAAAGCGGGGGACCCAGCAGCAAUGUUUGGCCUCGCGCCUCUGGAGCGGCCGAUGUCAGAUUAGGUAGUUGGUGGGGUAAAGGCCUACCAAGCCGACGAUCUGUAGCUGGUCUGAGAGGACGACCAGCCACACUGGGACUGAGACACGGCCCAGACUCCUACGGGAGGCAGCAGUGGGGAAUGUUGGACAAUGGGCGCAAGCCUGAUCCAGCAAUGCCGCGUGCGGGAAGAAGGCCUUCGGGUUGUAAACCGCUUUUGUACGGAACGAAAAGGCUCUGGCUAAUACCUGGGGCUGAUGACGGUACCGUAAGAAUAAGCACCGGCUAACUACGUG